rnacentral:lncRNA from 1 species
UUAUAGACAUGAUUUCUACUUGGUCAGCAAAACAAAUUUAAAAGUGAAAUCCUAUUGGCAUGGUUUCUAUUAGGUAAAGCAAUCAGAUUCAAAAGAGUAAAGUCCUAUGAACAUGUUUUCUAUUAGGCAAAGCAAACAAAUUAGAGACUGAAGUCCUAAGAGUAGGAUUUACCCGUAUUACCCCAUAAAGUAUGCAUCUACCCACCUUUUAUACUAAAUACCCCAAAUAUCUGUUUACAAAUUAUUAUAGGCCAACGAAUGAAAUACAUAAGUAAAAUAUAAAAUAAAGAUUCUAUAGUUAGCCUUCAAUCGGUCCCAAGUUUCCCAAAGCCUCCAAUGGUAUCAUAAGCCUCAGUUCCAUAGACAAAAUCAGAGUCUAGGUGCAUCAAAGUUCUCUAAGGAUCUCAAGAAUCCCAGGCAUUGCUUACACCUAGACUUAGUAACCAAUGAAUUGAAAAAGUGCUGUGUGGAAACCCCAGCCUCAAUAUGCCAGAGUUUAGAGGGUUCUCAAAAAGGAUCCCAAGGCAGUACACAUACUAGAGGGGGCAGAACUUAUUGAUUAAGAGUAGACGAGAAGUGAAGGAAACAAGUUGAAAGAGUUUUAGUAAUACUGUACUUAACAAAAAGUCCUUUUUGAAAGUAAUUCAGCAAAGCAACAGAGAUUCUUUGAAAAAGAGAUUGGAGUAGUUAACAAAGUUCAAACACCUUAGGAUAGGAUCAUACACAGCUAGAUCACAGAACCAAGUGAAUUCAGUAGUCACACACAGGGUUCAGGGGGUUUGGGACACAUAGAACAUUUAGCUACAACCACAUAACCCAGCAAAGGUCGUAGGACUGGUUUAGAUAUGCUCAGAAAUAGCUCACAGUGGUAUAGUCACAAGCUAGACAUGAAGAACACAACCACAUAAAAGGGUUAUAGGGAUUUUGGGAUUCGUGGGAUAUAGGAUGGUAAGUAUACAAUAAGUAAGAGACAAUUGGUAAGGCUUUCUCAAAAACACAUAUAAGGGAAUAUGUUAAUAUAAAGGAAGGGGAAGAUAGAAUAGAAGCAACCCAGAAACAAGAGAAACUGAAACAAUAAGAGAAGCAUGUUAUUGUUAGAACUUUGAAUUGUAAAUAAGACAUACCAAUGAAGAGGAGAGUAAGCAGAAUGAAAAGAAUGAAAGAGAGCACAAUGGUUAGUCUUGGCUUGCAGCCGGCUAACAGUAGCAAAUAUCACAAGAGAGAGAGAGCAGAGAUUAUUUUAUGAGAGAUAGUUUGUGUUUGUGUUAAUGAAAGACUAGAGUAUUUAUAGUUGAAAACAUGUAAUAAAAUAAGGUAAGAAUCAUAGUAGCAUGGUAAUGAAGGAACUCAGUAUCAGUCAGUCAGAAAAUCAAGGCAAGUACUCCUUAAGUUGAGGGAAUCAAAUCAAAUGGUAAGAACCGGUAUCAUAUAAGGCAGGAAAAAAAUUCAGUACAUGACUAAUAAGGAAAGAACCAAGGUUCAGUAAGAAUAGGGUAGCAAAUUAGGACUAAGUUUAUCAAACUCAAAUUAAGGAAAAAAUUCAGUCAGAAUAAAAUACCAGAAAUAAAAAGGUAGGGAAUCAGUCAAUUUAAACAAACGAGACAAAGUUUUAGGUUUUUCUAUAAAAUAAAAUAUUUCAAUCAAACCAUCAAAUAAGGAAAUCAGAAUCAAUCAAGACAGAGUUGUGAUUAUAUACUUCAACAUAUAAAUAGAGAAGAACAAACGGACGUGGCAAACGAGCAAGGUCAGAUAUCGACAGAAAAAGGCAAGAGAUGAACAAUUAAGAUGAAUACAAUCACACAAAGGUGAUACAAGUAGGCUAAGGACUCAGUAAAAAAUCCAUUCACAGCAUGGUAACCACAGAAACUUAAUCAGAGUCGAGUAGUCAUGCUGACACACAGAACCAAAACAAAGAAGAAUCUAAAGGGAUUUUAACAUAUUCGAGUUAAAAAGCAGUAAGAAUCAUAGAAUCGGUCAAGAUAUGAAAGAAAAGAGGUUUAAACAUAAAGAAAAAUCAGUUUAAACAUGUAUUGAAGAAACUCUGUGAAACCCUAACUUCUAAAGAAAGUAAAAACAGCUUAAAGUUGAUGAUUUUUCAAAAGAAGUUGGAGAAUAGUGUAAAACAUAGAAAGAAAGAAACUUAAAUCGUUACAAAGAGCACAUAUCUGAUAGAUACAAAUGAAAGUUGGGGUUUCAAAGAAAACCCAAAUAGAAACGGAAGAACAUGCUAUAAACUUCAAAGAUCGUAACAAAUGUAGUGUGAUUUUGCUAAAAAAACACACCGGAAAAGCCAUGAAAAACCAAAGCAGAAACCCUAUAUAUAAAUCGGCAUGGCUCAGAACCAUUAAAGACCUCAGAGAUGAUGAGCAAGGCGAUGGAGGAACCAUUGGAGGCUUGGGGUUGAAAGGAGGUCGCCAGAGAUGACUGGAGAGGGAGUCGGUGGUUGAAGAAUGCUAGGGUUAGGUUGAGAGAAGAAAGAACAUGAGAGAGUUUGAUGGCGGCGGAAUCUCAGGAAUGAGAUAAGGUUAAGGGUUGUAGGAAUUGAAAAAGGUAACAAGUGGUGUGGGUUGUUGAUCUCGAAAAUCAACGACUAGGAUUUAAUCGGGUAAAUGGGUUCCGG